rnacentral:rRNA from 1 species
UAGUUGGUGAGGUAAUGGCUCACCAAGCCGACGAUCGAUAGCUGGUCUGAGAGGAUGAUCAGCCACACUGGGACUGAGAUACGGCCCAGACUCCUACGGGAGGCAGCAGUGGGGAAUAUUGGACAAUGGGGGCAACCCUGAUCCAGCAAUGCCGCGUGAGUGAUGAAGGCCUUCGGGUUGUAAAGCUCUUUUGCCAGGGACGAUGAUGACGGUACCUGGAGAAUAAGCCCCGGCUAACUUCGUGCCAGCAGCCGCGGUAAUACGAAGGGGGCAAGCGUUGUUCGGAAUUACUGGGCGUAAAGGGCUUGUAGGUGGUUUGUCGCGUUGUUCGUGAAAUGCCACAGCUUAACUGUGGGCGUGCGGGCGAUACGGGCAGACUGGAGUACUGCAGGGGAGACUGGAAUUCCUGGUGUAGCGGUGGAAUGCGCAGAUAUCAGGAGGAACACCGGUGGCGAAGGCGGGUCUCUGGGCAGUAACUGACGCUGAGGAGCGAAAGCGUGGGGAGCGAACAGGAUUAGAUACCCUGGUAGUCCACGCCGUAAACGGUGGGUACUAGGUGUGGGUUCCUUCCUUGGGAUCCGUGCCGUAGCUAACGCAUUAAGUACCCCGCCUGGGGAGUACGGCCGCAAGGCUAAAACUCAAAGGAAUUGACG